CAGGCGAUACGGNCACGACUAGAGUGCUGUAGGGGUAACUGGAAUUCCUGGUGUAGCGGUGAAAUGCGCAGAUAUCAGGAGGAACACCGAUGGCGAAGGCAGGUUACUGGGCAGUUACUGACGCUGAGGAGCGAAAGCAUGGGGAGCGAACAGGAUUAGAUACCCUGGUAGUCCAUGCUGUAAACGGUGGGCGCUAGGUGUGGGCUGUGUGUUUGCAGUCUGUGCCGUAGCUAACGCAUUAAGCGCCCCGCCUGGGGAGUACGGCCGCAAGGCUAAAACUCAAAGGAAUUGACGGGGGCCCGCACAAGCGGCGGAGCAUGUGGAUUAAUUCGAUGCAACGCGAAGAACCUUACCUGGGUUUGACAUGCACCAGAUCGGCGUAGAGAUACGUCUUCCCUUGUGGUUGGUGCACAGGUGGUGCAUGGUUGUCGUCAGCUCGUGUCGUGAGAUGUUGGGUUAAGUCCCGCAACGAGCGCAACCCUUGUCUUAUGUUGCCAGCACAUUUUUGGUGGGGACUCAUGAGAAACUGCCGGGGUCAACUCGGAGGAAGGUGGGGAUGACGUCAAAUCAUCAUGCCCUUUAUACCCAGGGCUUCACACAUGCUACAAUGGUCGGUACAACGGGUUGCGACACUGUGAAGUGAAGCUAAUCUCUUAAAGUCGGCCUCAGUUCGGAUUGGGGUCUGCAACUCGACCCCAUGAAGUCGGAGUCGCUAGUAAUCGCAGAUCAGCAACGCUGCGGUGAAUACGUUCCCGGGCCUUGUACACACCGCCCGUCACGUCAUGAAAGUUGGUAACACCCGAAGCCCAUGGCCUAACCACCAC
rnacentral:rRNA from 1 species